rnacentral:rRNA from 1 species
CCAAUAGCGUAUAUUAAAGUUGUUGCAGUUAAAAAGCUCGUAGUUGAAUUUUGGGUUUGGCCGGUUGGUCCGUUCUUGUAACGAGUACUGGUCGGUCGGGCCUCACCGCCUGGUGAUGCGUAAUGCCCUUUAUUGGGUGUUGCGAGUAGCCAGGACCUUUACCUUGAAAAAAUUAGAGUGUUUAAAGCAGGCAUAUGCCGGAAUACAUUAGCAUGGAAUAAUAGAAUAGGACGAUGAUUCUAUUUUGUUGGUUUCUAGGAGCAUCGUAAUGAUUAAUAGGGAUAGUUGGGGGCAUUAGUAUUCAAUUGUCAGAGGUGAAAUUCUUGGAUUUAUUGAAGACUAACUACUGCGAAAGCAUUUGCCAAGGAUGUUUUCAUUAAUCAAGAACGAAAGUUAGGGGAUCGAAGACGAUCAGAUACCGUCGUAGUCUUAACCAUAAACUAUGCCGACUAGGGAUCGGGCGAUGUUGUUUCAAUGACUCGCUCGGCACCUUAUG